AGUGAACGUUGGCGGCGUGGAUUAGGCAUGCGAGUCGAGCGAGAACCGUAGCAAUACGGGGACAGCGGCGAAAGGGACAGUAAUGUGUAGGUACCUACCUCCGGGUUCGGGAUAGCUGCGGGAAACUGCAGGUAAUACCGAAUAACGUCUCCGGACCAAAGGUGUGAUUCCACCUGGAGAGGGGCCUGCAUCCUAUUAGCUUGUUGGUGAGGUAACGGCUCACCAAGGCGACGAUGGGUAGCGGGUGUGAGAGCAUGACCCGCGUCAUUGGGACUGAGACACUGCCCAGACACCUACGGGAGGCAG
rnacentral:rRNA from 1 species